rnacentral:rRNA from 1 species
CCAGACUCCUACGGGAGGCAGCAGUGAGGAAUAUUGGUCAAUGGGCGGAAGCCUGAACCAGCCAAGUCGCGUGAGGGAAUAAGGCCCUACGGGUCGUAAACCUCUUUUGCCGGGGAGCAAGGGCGGGGACGUGUCCCGGCCCGGAGAGUACCCGGAGAAAAAGCAUCGGCUAACUCCGUGCCAGCAGCCGCGGUAAUACGGAGGAUGCGAGCGUUAUCCGGAUUUAUUGGGUUUAAAGGGUGCGUAGGCGGGCUUUUAAGUCAGCGGUAAAAAUUCGGGGCUCAACCCCGUCCGGCCGUUGAAACUGGGGGCCUUGAGUGGGCGAGAAGUGCGCGGAAUGCGUGGUGUAGCGGUGAAAUGCAUAGAUAUCACGCAGAACUCCGAUUGCGAAGGCAGCUUACUAAACUAUAACUGACACUGAAGCACGAAAGCGUGGGGAUCAAACAGGAUUAGAUACCCCGGUACA